GAACGAGAUAUUCAUCCGGCUCUGCCUUCACCAACUCUCCUGCACACAGUCACCACGGAGGAUCCCCACUGCAUUAUUAUCGCCCCGGCACUGAGAGUGGCAGAAGUUCACCUUAUUACAGUCAGCCAGAACCCAGGUGUACCACACCCACCACCUCCACCCUCCACGUCCCAAAGCAUUUCCAUGUUCCAGACAUAUCUGCCUCGCCAACAGAGAUCAGGAGUAAGAUCAAUGAGAAUCUGGUCAACUCCAGUCGUUUUUCCACCUCUAACUGUGACAACCUUUAUCACACCGACUCAAACUACUUUCCCU